rnacentral:rRNA from 1 species
GGCGUGCUUUAGGUAUGCAAGUCGAACGGUCCAUCCCUUUGCGAGUGCUUGCACUCAAAGAGGGGUUUAAUGGAUAGUGGCAAACGGGUGAGUAACGCGUGGGAAAUCUACCCCUUACAUGGGAAUAACCCAUCGAAAGAUGGGCUAAUACCCAAUGGUCUCGCUACCCGAAAUGGUAGUGAGUAAAGCUUUUGCGGUAGGGGAUGAGCCCGCGUCCUAUCAGCUUGUUGGUGAGGUAAUGGCUCACCAAGGCGGUGACGGGUAGCUGGUCUUAGCGGACGGUCAGCCACACUGGGACUGCGACACGGCCCAGACUCCUACGGGAGGCAGCAAUCAGGAAUCUUGCGCAAUGGACGAAAGUCUGACGCAGCGACGCCGCGUGAAGGAAGAAGGCCUUCGGGUUGUAAACUUCUGUGGCAGGGGAACAUAAUGAGGGUACCCUGCUAGAAAGCCACUGCUAACUACGUGCCAGCAGCCGCGGUAAUACGUAGGUGGCAAGCGUUAUCCGGAAUUACUGGGCGUAAAGAGUUGCGUAGGCGGCAUGGUAAGUUUUUAGUGAAAUCUCCCGGCUCAACUGGGAAAACGCUAAGAAUACUGCCAAGCUUUGAAUCAGGGAGGGGAAGGCGGAACUCUCGGUGUAGGGGUGAAAUCCGUUGAUAUCGAGAGGAACACCAAAGGCGAAGGCAGCCUUCUGGCUCUGUAUUGACGCUGAGGCACGAAAGCGUGGGGAGCGAAACGGAUUAGAUACCCGUGUAGUCCACGCUGUAAACGAUGGAUACUAGAUGUUCGGCCUCGCUUUGCGGGGUUGAGUGUCGAAGCUAACGCGUUAAGUAUCCCGCCUGGGGAGUACGACCGCAAGGUUGAAACUCAAAGGAAUUGACGGGGGACCGCACAAGCAGUGGAGCGCGUGGCUUAAUUCGAUAAUAACCGAAGAACCUUACCUGGGCUUGACAUGCUACUGCAAAUCUAUCGAAAGAUAGACUCCCUUGAGGGUGUAGCACAGGUGUUGCACGGCUGUCGUCAGCUCGUGUCGUGAGAUGUUAGGGUUAAGUCCCACAACGAGCGCAACCCCUGCGUCUUGUUGUAUCACUCAAGACGGACUGCCCCGGUAACGGGGAGGAAGGUGGGGACGACGUCUAGUCAGCGUGGCCCUUAUGCCCAGGGCGACACACGCACUACAAUGGUCAGGACAAAGGGUUGCAAUGAGGCGACUCGGAGCUAAUCCCAAAAACCUGGUCUCAGUUCGGAUUGCAGGCUGCAAUUCGCCUGCAUGAAGUUGGAAUUGCUAGUAAUCGCAGGUCAGCCAUACUGCGGUGAAUACGUUCUCGGUCCUUGUACACACCGCCCGUCAAGUAGGGAAAGUUGGGGGCACCCGAAGGUCGACGUUUGUCGGACGAAGGUGAAACCAAUGAUCAAUGCUAAGUCGUAACAAGGUA